UACGUAGGGGGCAAGCGUUGUCCGGAUUUAUUGGGCGUAAAGAGCGUGUAGGCGGCCUGGAAGGUCAGCUGUGAAAACUCGAGGCUCAACCUCGAGACGUCGGUUGAAACCACCUGGCUAGAGUCCGGAAGAGGAGAGUGGAAUUCCCGGUGUAGCGGUGAAAUGCGUAGAUAUCGAGAGGAACACCUGCGGCGAAGGCGGGUUGCUGGGCUGAUACUGACGCUGAGGCGCGAAAGCUAGGGGAGCGAACGGG
rnacentral:rRNA from 1 species